AAGAAAGGAUGGCAAAUCGAGCUCUGUGAAACCUUUUCUUUCAAGAAUGCUUCAGUUUACUCAACUGUGAAUGAUAUCCAUUGGAGCCCUUCCACCAAUGUCCCAAACAUCAGUCUUGUUUGCUUCAGUGGAAAAUAGAGGAAAGUAAUGGAAGCAAUCCAUAAUGGAGGGACCGUGAGAAGGCUGGAAGCUGCGACACUCAACCGCUUGCGAUACUGAAAAUAGGGCAACUACCCG